GAUGAGGAGCUUGCUCCUCUGAUUUAGCGGCGGACGGGUGAGUAACACGUGGGCAACCUGCCCUGUAGACUGGGAUAACUUCGGGAAACCGGAGCUAAUACCGGAUAAUCCAUUUCACCUCAUGGUGAAAUGUUGAAAGACGCCAUCAAGCGUCACUACAGGAUGGGCCCGCGGUGCAUUAGCUAGUUGGUGGGGUAACGGCCUACCAAGGCAACGAUGCAUAGCCGACCUGAGAGGGUGAUCGGCCACAUUGGGACUGAGACACGGCCCAAACUCCUACGGGAGGCAGCAGUAGGGAAUCUUCCACAAUGGACGAAAGUCUGAUGGAGCAACGCCGCGUGAGUGAUGAAGGUUUUCGGAUCGUAAAACUCUGUUGUAAGGGAAGAACAAGUACGUUAGGAAAUGAACGUACCUUGACGGUACCUUAUUAGAAAGCCACGGCUAACUACGUGCCAGCAGCCGCGGUAAUACGUAGGUGGCAAGCGUUGUCCGGAUUUAUUGGGCGUAAAGCGCGCGCAGGUGGUUUCUUAAGUCUGAUGUGAAAGCCCACGGCUCAACCGUGGAGGGUCAUUGGAAACUGGGAGACUUGAGUGCAGAAGAGGAUAGUGGAAUUCCAAGUGUAGCGGUGAAAUGCGUAGAGAUUUGGAGGAACACCAGUGGCGAAGGCGACUGUCUGGUCUGUAACUGACACUGAGGCGCGAAAGCGUGGGGAGCAAACAGGAUUAGAUACCCUGGUAGUCCACGCCGUAAACGAUGAGUGCUAAGUGGUUAGGGGGUUUCCGCCCCUUAGUGCUGCAGCUAACGCAUUAAG
rnacentral:rRNA from 1 species